rnacentral:rRNA from 1 species
AUUGAACGCUAGCGGGAUGCUUUACACAUGCACGUCGAACGAGUGGCGGACGGGUGAGUAAUAUAUCGGAACGUGCCCAGUAGCGGGGGAUAACUACUCGAAAGAGUGGCUAAUAACGCCUACUAUUUGAGCGGCCGAUAUCGGAUUAGCUAGUGGGUGGGGUAAAGGCUCACCAAGGAAACGAUCCGUAGCUGGUUUGAGAGGACGACCAGCCACACUGGGACGGAGACACGGCCCAGAAUCCUACGGGAGGCAGCAGUGGGGAAUGUUGGACAAUGGGGGAAACCCUGAUCCAGCCAUCCCGCGUGUAUGAGAAGGCCUUCGGGUUGUAAAGUACUUUUGGCAGAGAAGCGGUAUCUGCAGAAUAAGCACCGGCUAACUACGUGCCAGCAGCCGCGGUAAUUC